ACAUACACACAUGGAUUAUACAGAUUUUUCAAGAUGGUUGUACAGGUGGGCAUCCAAAGGGGUUGACGUGUAUGGAAACUACAGAGAAGUGAGGAACUCAAGCAAAGGCCACCACACCUCAACACCAUCCACCUGUAAAGACCAGAUGGACAGAGACUGACCAUUGGUGACCCAUGGCCACAACAGAACCUGUCCACACUGCAGAGGACAAGGGGUGAUCCCAGCACCUCUCUGCAAGUGUUGCAACAACAAUGGGCAUCGAGCCAAAAACUUUCCCAAACACCAGCCAUAGCCUCCGACUGCAUCAGAAGUUACGGCCUUGGCAAAGCCCAGGCCCAGGUCGUGAAAGGUCAGAAGCAACGGACACCCCGCCAUCACAUUGACAACGACCCAGGUGCUAACCAGAGCUAAAGGACAUGUGAUUUGCCUGUUGAAAGUAGGACAUUUUGCCAAAAUAUGCAAGAAGAAAUCCACCUGCCCCAACUGUCCUUUUAAGGACAAUAAAGACAAAGACAAAGAGACUGUGAACCAGAACGAUGAGAGGUGAAGGAGCAGCAUAUGGAAUGCAUAUCAGUUCAUUACUUUUGAUAAAUGUUAAAGAUCAGUUACAAUAGACAGAAUGCAAUGUGGGGUGUUUGAAUUGAAAGUCUAGAAAAUGGGCAGGGAAAGAUGGAGAGUUGUCACAGCAUGGCUCCAAACAGAAUAGGGUUAAUAGGUUAAUAGUUAAUAGGGAAGAUAGGGAAGAGUCUUCAAGCCAAAGGGUGGCUGACACACACAAAGCAAGUUAAAAGAAAGAAAUAAGCAUGUAAAUCCAAUCCAAUCAAAUUACCAUGUAGGGAAAGAAAUGUCAAAACAACACACCACCUAGGACUGAAGUUCCAAAUGUAAUUUUGUGAUAUCCUGUGGGCUAAUAAUUUAAGUAGUGUGUUGCCUAAAAGUGCAGCACCAAUUCACAGCAAACCCAUGUGUACUGACAGUGGUAUGAUACCAGUAUAAGUAUACAUGAAUCACUUUGCAAAACUGAUCAAUGUGUACACAGAAUGGCAAUGCUUAAGCAAUACUGCAUGAGUGAUAUGUGUAUGAAUCAAUAUUAAAAUGUAUGAAAACAGAUGGCUGAAAGGCCUAAUAUAAAAGAUCACUGUAAAGUGAACUGAAACCACAAGUAGCCAACUAAAUUGCUCAUGUAGCACAUAAAUAAUAGUGUUAAUUAAUAAAUAAAAUGACCUUAGUAAUUAAA